rnacentral:rRNA from 1 species
GAUGAACGCUGGCGGCGUGCUUAACACAUGCAAGUCGAACGGAAAGGCUCCUGCUUGCAGGGGUACUCGAGUGGCGAACGGGUGAGUAACACGUGGGUGAUCUGCCCUGCACUUCGGGAUAAGCCUGGGAAACUGGGUCUAAUACCGGAUAGGACCACAUUUUGGACGGUGUGGUGGAAAGUUUUUCGGUGUGAGAUGAGCUCGCGGCCUAUCAGCUUGUUGGUGGGGUAAUGGCCUACCAAGGCGUCGACGGGUAGCCGGCCUGAGAGGGUGUACGGCCACAUUGGGACUGAGAUACGGCCCAGACUCCUACGGGAGGCAGCAGUGGGGAAUAUUGCACAAUGGGCGCAAGCCUGAUGCAGCGACGCCGCGUGGGGGAUGACGGCCUUCGGGUUGUAAACUCCUUUCGCUAGGGACGAAGCGUUUUUGUGACGGUACCUGGAGAAGAAGCACCGGCUAACUACGUG